rnacentral:misc_RNA from 1 species
GAAAUGCGGUGAGUAGUGUGAAUUGCAGAAUUCAGUGAAUCAUCGAAUCUUUGAACGCACAUUGCGCCCCUUGGUAUUCCAUGGGGCAUGCCUGUUCGAGCGUCAUUUUUACCCUCAAGCUUUGCUUGGUGUUGGGCGUCUUGUCCUCUUCUGGAGGACUCGCCUCAAAACAAUUGGCAGCCGGCAUAUUGGUAUCGGAGCGCAGCACAAGUCGCACUUUGUUCCAUGAAUCUUGGUAUUCAUCAAGUCCAUUUUUUCGCUCUUGACCUCGGAUCAGGUAGAGAUACCCGCUGAACUUAA